rnacentral:rRNA from 1 species
AUUUUAUGGAGAGUUUGAUCCUGGCUCAGGAUGAACGCUGGCGGCGUGCCUAAUACAUGCAAGUCGAGCGAACGGACGAGAAGCUUGCUUCUCUGAUGUUAGCGGCGGACGGGUGAGUAACACGUGGAUAACCUACCUAUAAGACUGGGAUAACUUCGGGAAACCGGAGCUAAUACCGGAUAAUAUUUUGAACCGCAUGGUUCAAAAGUGAAAGACGGUCUUGCUGUCACUUAUAGAUGGAUCCGCGCUGCAUUAGCUAGUUGGUAAGGUAACGGCUUACCAAGGCAACGAUGCAUAGCCGACCUGAGAGGGUGAUCGGCCACACUGGAACUGAGACACGGUCCAGACUCCUACGGGAGGCAGCAGUAGGGAAUCUUCCGCAAUGGGCGAAAGCCUGACGGAGCAACGCCGCGUGAGUGAUGAAGGUCUUCGGAUCGUAAAACUCUGUUAUUAGGGAAGAAC